rnacentral:lncRNA from 1 species
UUUCUAUAUGUUCAAACGUUAGUGGAUAAUGUUAUCCGGUGGGAGGUAGUAGUAGUAGGAUCCCAUGGAAGUAGUUGAGGUGCGGACAAGCACGGUUAUAGAAAAAGGGUAGUUUGACUGGUUGAGUGAAUUCUUUUGAAUUGGUUGACACAACAUUGACUUCCCAUUUCUUUUAUUUAUUCUACCUUAUUUAAAAUUUCUAUCAAAUAAUCCAACUAUAUCGCAAUCCUAAAUUAGUAAUGAUCGGCUAUUCGAAUGCUGAUUAACCAUUCUGCUCUAUUCACGUCGUCUUCAACCUAAUGCUAAAUCAUUUUACGUUUAAGUAAAUCAGGUUACUCUAUAUUUCACACUUCACCUGAAUAGUUGUUUAAUUGUUUAUGCCUUAUUACUGGAUAGAAUUCAUACAAGGUCCUUCCUUUUCUUUUAAUCCAUUUGUUUUCCCUUCCGCGGUACUGUCUGAAUUUUAGGUUGUACUAUAGGUUGAAUGUUUUCUGAGCUCACUGUCAUCAUUAAGCAUUGGUAGAAAACCAAUAAGAGGAUUAUCGCAAGUUGGAGAGCACUCCAUUGGCAAGUUAACAGUAUUCCCAUUCUACUUGAUACCCUGUUAUGGUUAACUAAUAUCAUUAUCCUUGCACGCAGUCAAUUGAAUUUCUUACUUGUCAUUCUAUACCAGUUCUAUAAAAAAUAGAUAAUGGAUACGGGGAAAGCUUUUGGCUUUCCCUUUGUUUAGUAUGGUAUGAAUUAGGAUGGUAAUUCUUUUCCGCAAAGUCAGCUACCAGUAUUUUCCCACUCCCUCUUUGAGUAUUUGUGCACCAUUCAUGAUUAGAAACUUCCAGUACGUUCAUAUCAUGUGAGCCGAGGGUCGAUUGGAAACAGCC